GGUUGUGUAGUGUAGUUGGUUAUCACACCAGAUUCUGAUUCUGGUGACCUCGGUUCGAAUCCGGGCACGACCU
rnacentral:tRNA from 1 species